UUGAAGAAGGGCGAUUAUGGAGCACAGUAAAUGCAAAUUUGUCCGAGUUUAAUGCCCGGAUUGCCUGAAUAGAAGAAACUUAGAAAAUGAGCCAUGUAAUCUUAGGUUGUUGGCUGGAACUGUGAUUGUCAAGGCAUUUUGAAAGAUAAUAAUGGGAGUUCAAAACAGGAGCUGAAGAAUAAUUUGACGACUUGGGUUGUUUGUUCCAUUAUAGUUAUUCAUAAUUUUUAUUAUUCGGCCACUCAUCAAACAUCUGCAAAGCCAAAUCGUUGAUAAAGUGGAAGUAUUUCUUAAGAUCAUCAAUGGAGAGAGGUUCAUCAAUGAGGCGCCUAAGGCGCUUGUGCUAAAAGCCGUAUUAAUUCCUACAACCAUCAAACAUAUUUUAUUGUACUUGUGUGUAGAUUAUUUUUUUCUUUUUUAUCAUUUUUUAUUGUUUUCAUAGCUUUAGCGGCAUGUAAAAAUUUUCCAGCAUUUGAAUAGUUUUCUGUUUUUUUUUUUCUUCCAAUGUAUCUAUUUGUACACAACAUUUCAUUUCAAAGUAAUAUGAUUUUGGUUGAAUUCCGCAUAUUACGCGAGUAUUAACCUAGUUAUUUAUGAAUAGAAUGGAGCAAAGGUUUCCAUUCGGAAAAAAAAGUAAAAAAAGGGCAUCACAACCAACAGAAUCUUUAUUUUGCCCUUUCCAACAUUUAAUAACUAUCAAUUAACUACAAAUCUAUUCCUCACUUUGUUUUCCACGAAGACAGGUAUUGUAUGUUUUUCAUGAAAGCCGAUAUUUCACAUAAAAUAAUGUGUGUAUAUGUGUGAAGUGCUCGAAUCGAUAAACAUUUAAAUGUUGUAUAAUUUAUUUUUUUGGUAUGAAAAAAUACGUAAUGUGCAAAAUCUAUAACCUUUUUUUAUAGAGUUAACUGUCAUUUUUGUAUCUAUGGUUUGGUGGAAAAUGAAACUUCAGUCUAAAAUUUUUUUUACAACACUUCCGUCCUCAACG